rnacentral:rRNA from 1 species
AUUGAACGCUGGCGGCAUGCCUUACACAUGCAAGUCGAACGGCAGCACGGGGCAACCUGGUGGCGAGUGGCGAACGGGUGAGUAAUGCAUCGGAACGUACCUUUCAGUGGGGGAUAACGUAGCGAAAGUUACGCUAGUACCGCAUAUUCUGUGAGCAGGAAAGCAGGGGAUCGCAAGACCUUGCGCUGAUUGAGCGGCCGAUGUCAGAUUAGCUAGUUGGUGAGGUAAAGGCUCACCAAGGCGACGAUCUGUAGCGGGUCUGAGAGGAUGAUCCGCCACACGGGAACUGAGACACGGUCCAGACUCCUACGGGAGGCAGCAGUGGGGAAUUUUGGACAAUGGGGGCAACCCUGGUCCAGCCAUGCCGCGUGAGUGAAGAAGGCCUUCGGGUUGUAAAGCUCUUUCGGCCGGGAAGAAAUCGCACGGGCUAAUACCCUGUGUGGAUGACGGUACCGGAAUAAGAAGCACCGGCUAACUACGUGCCAGCAGCCGCGGUAAGAC